rnacentral:rRNA from 1 species
AUAAGCGGAGGAAAAGAAACUAACAAGGAUUCCCCUAGUAACGGCGAGUGAAGCGGGAAGAGCUCAAAUUUGAAAUCUGGUAGCCUUCGGUUGCCCGAGUUGUAAUCUAGAGAAGUGUUUUCCGUGCCGGCCCAUGUACAAGUCCCUUGGAACAGGGCGUCAUAGAGGGUGAGAAUCCCGUCCUUGACAUGGACCCCCGGUGCUUUGUGAUACACUUUCAACGAGUCGAGUUGUUUGGGAAUGCAGCUCAAAAUGGGUGGUGAAUUCCAUCUAAAGCUAAAUAUUGGCGAGAGACCGAUAGCGAACAAGUACCGUGAGGGAAAGAUGAAAAGCACUUUGGAAAGAGAGUUAAACAGUACGUGAAAUUGUUGAAAGGGAAACGAUUGAAGUCAGUCAUGCUCUUGGGACUUACCUCCCUUGAGUGGGGUCAACAUCAGUUUUGAUCGAUGGAUAAAGGCACGGGGAAGGUAGCACUCUCGGGUGAACUUAUAGCCUCGCGUCAUAUACAUUGAUUGGGACUGAGGAACGCAGCAUGCCUUAUGGCCGGGAUUCGUCCACGUACAUGCUUAGGAUCAUGACAUAAUGGCUUUAAACGACCCGUCUUGAAAC